AUGGCUAAUUGCAGCUCCGCUAUCUGCGAGCCGUCCGUCAGGGCUUACAAAGCAAACACAGCCUACCUAAACAACGGCAGAAACUCAGCCAGUGGUUCCAGAUUUUAUCUUGCAGCCAAAACAAGUCGUCGUACGUCAAGCGCUUCACUCUCUGCAGUUUGCGUUUGAAAGACUUUUUUUUUUUCCCAUAGAAUAUUCUAGCAUUCCAGUAGCUGAACAGAGCUUAAUAUCCUCAGAUGGCGCUGAUGAAUAAUGCCCAUCUGACAUGACGGCAGACAGAAGUCGUCCACAGAGGACCUGGCCAUCGUCUUGGAGCAAGGUGCUGCCCCCGACUCACCUCGCCAUCCGCCACAUCCAAUCCGAGGGGCAUCUGGUGCUGACGGCGGGCACUGCCCAGUUCUGCCCGGAAACGGGUUUGGGGGAGAGGGCUACAUUCUCCAACUACAGGUAACGACCGGGUACGGACGCCGGAACGAGGCAUCUGAGACCACGGAAAGUUUACACGCGUUUAAUACCUUCGCCGGCAUGGCGCUCACAUUCACAUGACUAAAGAAAAUAAGAGAGGCAGCUUGGACACUGGGGCGCCGUCGAAUGGCCGCAAACCCUCCCCCUGUAUGGUUUGCACUGGGCACAGUAAAAAAAAAAGUAGCUAUGAAAACUGAUGGAUAGAUGGCUGCCCAAAUAAAAAUGAUAAAGUCCUCCGCGGGCCCCGUUGCGCUGGCGAGGGCCCGUACCGCUGCUUCCUGAACCAAUUUUAGCAGAGAUCAGAAUGAUGGCUCCUGUCAAGCUGUCCGCGUCCCUGCCUGAAAAACGCCAGCCCCCCCUCCCCAGCCCUUGACCGCCACCACAGUCCGCAAAAGGAUUUGUUUUUUAUUUACGGUGACAAUAUAAUUGGGAUAAUAAAGACCGUAGGCCACAUUAAGAGCGGACUGGCAUAUUUACUGUGCGUGAACCUGCCCCCCCUCGCUGCCCCCCUCCCUCUGAAGAUCAGGUCCUGCUGCACGCCACAGGUGCAGAGUUUUACAUGGGGGGAGAUUUACGAGGGCAGCAACUUAGGGGCUGUGAGGGGGCACACUGCCCUCUCUCAGAUAACAGCGACUCUUGGGCUGGAGGAGGAUUCACAGGGCGGGACUUUUAAAUGAGCACAAAUGGGUUGAUUACCUCCAGACUCCCCCCCCCCACCACUCCCCCAUUCUCAGGGCAUGUUGGGACUUCUAGGCUGAAUACAUAAUAUGGAAAGUCUACUGCUGUAUGUCAUGACCUAGUGACAUUAUCACAUUCAGGUCAUUAUUUGUGUCUCGUUAAUAUAAAAUGUACUAACACAAGGGAUUCUUUUUUUUAAUUACUAACAGUUUUUUUUGUUAAUUACUACUGUAAACAAUAAUUUUAAUACUAUUAAUAAUGUUAAAAUAUUCUGAAUAUCAUAUUAUGCUGGUGCAUUUUUAAUUUAAACUCAUAGAAUUUGCUCUGUUUGGUGGCGAUGAACUGUAACAUUAAAGAUUGCGCUGCAGCAUCAUAAUUCAGCCAUAAUAAACAUUAGCCGUAGCUACACCACAUUAUUUCGUUAACCCCAUAAAUGUAUUUGUUUUGCCAUCGUGCAGCUGUUGUAGAUAGAUGCCAGCAGUUCUAGAACAGAGUUAACAGGAGAGGAGAAUCCCUCUGAGGCAGCGUUUCGAAGCUUGUCUGAAAACAAAAACCGUUUUAGCCCGGUUUAAAGAGAUUCACAUAUGGCUUUAAAUAUUAUAUUUAUGUCUGUAAAACAAGGCUGCAUGUCAGACUGGAAGAGAAAAGUGUGAUCUCUGA